rnacentral:rRNA from 1 species
GAUUAACGCUGGCGGCGUGCAUAACCUAUGCAAGUCGAACGUACCCAGAAGUGAGCUUUCAGCUUCGGCUGAGGUUCGUGGAGGGAAAGUGGCGCACGGGUGAGUAACACGUAGGUGACCUGCCCCGAUGGGGGGGAUAACUGCUCGAGAGGGCAGCUAAUACCUCAUGUGAUUCGGCAUUCGUUUGCCGGGUUAAAGGUUAGGCGUGAGCCUUUCCGCUUCGGGAUGGGCCUGCGGCCGAUUAGCUAGUUGGUGGGGUAAUGGCUCACCAAGGCGAUGAUCGGUAGCUGGUCUGAGAGGACGAUCAGCCACACUGGCACUGACACACGGGCCAGACUCCUACGGGGGGCAGCAAGGAGGAAUAUUGCGCAAUGGGCGAAAGCCUGACGCAGCAACGCCGCGUGGAUGAAGAAGGCCUUCGGGUUGUAAAAUCCUUUUCUGGGGGAAGAGGAAGGACGGUACCCCAGGAAUAAGCCUCGGCUAACUACGUG